rnacentral:rRNA from 1 species
AGAAUCAACGCUGGCGGCGUGCCUAACACAUGCAAGUCGCACGAGAAAGGGUAGCAAUACCUGAGUACAGUGGCGCACGGGUGAGUAACACGUGAAUAAUCUACCUCCGAGUGGGGAAUAACUGAGAGAAAUCUUAGCUAAUACCGCAUAAUACCCACGGGUCAAAGCAGCAAUGCGCUUGGAGAGGAGUUCGCGGCAGAUUAGUUAGUUGGCGGGGUAAUGGCCCACCAAGACGAUGAUCUGUAUCCGGCCUGAGAGGGCGCACGGACACACUGGAACUGAAACACGGUCCAGACUCCUACGGGAGGCAGCAGUGGGGAAUUUUGCGCAAUGGGGGAAACCCUGACGCAGCAACGCCGCGUGGAGGAUGAAGCCCCUUGGGGUGUAAACUCCUUUCGAUCGGGAAGAUAAUGACGGUACCGAUAUAAGAAGCCCCGGCUAACUUCGUGCCAGCAGGCCGC